GCCGGGACCCUGAGGGGAAGCCGGCUCUCCGCCCCGAGUGGUGUGGCCGGCGGUGGCGACGGCCGGAGCCGGGACACCGAGGAGCACAUGUUAUGCCGUGAAGCUCUCUGUUAUGGCCUGAGAAAACAGUGGAAGAUGGUCCAAGUGCUUGGGCUCCUGCACCCGCAUGAGUGACUCAGAAGAAGCUCCUGGCUCCUGGCUUCAGAUCGGCUCAGCUCCGGUUAUUGCAGCUAUUUGAGGAGUGAACCAGCAGAUGGAAGACGUUUCUCUCUCUCUCUCCCUCUCUCUCUCUCUCUCUCUCUCUAACUCUACCUCUCAAAUAAAUAAAUAAAAUCUUAAAAAUAUA